rnacentral:rRNA from 1 species
ACUCAAAGGAAUUGACGGGGGCCCGCACAAGCGGUGGAGCAUGUGGUUUAAUUCGACGCAACGCGCAGAACCUUACCAGGCCUUGACAUGCUGUGUUACGUCCAGAGAUGGGCGGUCCUCGCAAGGGGCGCAGACACAGGUGCUGCAUGGCUGUCGUCAGCUCGUGUCGUGAGAUGUUGGGUUAAGUCCCGCAACGAGCGCAACCCUUGCCUUCAGUUGCCAUCAUUUGGUUGGGCACUCUGGAGGGACUGCCGGCGGUAAGCCGGAGGAAGGUGGGGAUGACGUCAAGUCCUCAUGGCCCUUACGGCCUGGGCUACACACGUGCUACAAUGGUGGCGACAGAGGGCGUAAGCGAGAGUGUAAGCUCAAGCAAAUCCCCAAAAGCCAUCUCAGUUCAGAUUGCGCUCUGCAACUCGGGCGCAUGAAGGUGGAAUCGCUAGUAAUCGCAGAACAGCAGGCUGCGGUGAAUACGUUCCCGGGCCUUGUACACACCGCCCGU